rnacentral:rRNA from 1 species
AUUGAACGCUGGCGGCAGGCCUAACACAUGCAAGUCGAGCGGAUGAAGGGAGCUUGCUCCUGGAUUCAGCGGCGGACGGGUGAGUAAUGCCUAGGAAUCUGCCUGGUAGUGGGGGAUAACGUCCGGAAACGGGCGCUAAUACCGCAUACGUCCUGAGGGAGAAAGUGGGGGCUCUUCGGACCUCACGCUAUCAGAUGAGCCUAGGUCGGAUUAGCUAGUUGGUGGGGUAAAGGCCUACCAAGGCGACGAUCCGUAACUGGUCUGAGAGGAUGAUCAGUCACACUGGAACUGAGACACGGUCCAGACUCCUACGGGAGGCAGCAGUGGGGAAUAUUGGACAAUGGGCGAAAGCCUGAUCCAGCCAUGCCGCGUGUAUGAAGAAGGUCUUCGGAUUGUAAAGCACUUUAAGUUGGGAGGAAGGGCAGUAAGUUAAUACCUUGCUGUUUUGACGUUACCAACAGAAUAAGCACCGGCUAACUUCGUG